rnacentral:rRNA from 1 species
GUGGGGAAUAUUGCACAAUGGGCGCAAGCCUGAUGCAGCAACGCCGCGUGAGGGACGACGGCCUUCGGGUUGUAAACCUCUUUUAGCAGGGAAGAAGCGAAAGUGAUGGUACCUGCAGAAAAAGCACCGGCUAACUACGUGCCAGCAGCCGCGGUAAUACGUAGGGUGCAAGCGUUGUCCGGAAUUAUUGGGCGUAAAGAGCUCGUAGGCGGUUUGUCGCGUCUGCUGUGAAAACCCGAGGCUCAACCUCGGGCCUGCAGUGGGUACGGGCAGACUAGAGUGCGGUAGGGGAGAUUGGAAUUCCUGGUGUAGCGGUGGAAUGCGCAGAUAUCAGGAGGAACACCGAUGGCGAAGGCAGAUCUCUGGGCCGUAACUGACUCUGAGGAGCGAAAGCGUGGGGAGCGAACAGGAUUAGAUACCCCUGUAGUCC